CUAUAAUGCAGUCGAGCGAACAGAAGGGAGCUUGCUCCCGGAUGUUAGCGGCGGACGGGUGAGUAACACGUGGGUAACCUGCCUGUAAGACUGGGAUAACUCCGGGAAACCGGAGCUAAUACCGGAUAGUUCCUUGAACCGCAUGGUUCAAGGAUGAAAGACGGUUUCGGCUGUCACUUACAGAUGGACCCGCGGCGCAUUAGCUAGUUGGUGGGGUAAUGGCUCACCAAGGCGACGAUGCGUAGCCGACCUGAGAGGGUGAUCGGCCACACUGGGACUGAGACACGGCCCAGACUCCUACGGGAGGCAGCAGUAGGGAAUCUUCCGCAAUGGACGAAAGUCUGACGGAGCAACGCCGCGUGAGUGAUGAAGGUUUUCGGAUCGUAAAGCUCUGUUGUUAGGGAAGAACAAGUGCGAGAGUAACUGCUCGCACCUUGACGGUACCUAACCAGAAAGCCACGGCUAACUACGUGCCAGCAGCCGCGGUAAUACGUAGGUGGCAAGCGUUGUCCGGAAUUAUUGGGCGUAAAGGGCUCGCAGGCGGUUUCUUAAGUCUGAUGUGAAAGCCCCCGGCUCAACCGGGGAGGGUCAUUGGAAACUGGGAAACUUGAGUGCAGAAGAGGAGAGUGGAAUUCCACGUGUAGCGGUGAAAUGCGUAGAGAUGUGGAGGAACACCAGUGGCGAAGGCGACUCUCUGGUCUGUAACUGACGCUGAGGAGCGAAAGCGUGGGGAGCGAACAGGAUUAGAUACCCUGGUAGUCCACGCCGUAAACGAUGAGUGCUAAGUGUUAGGGGGUUUCCGCCCCUUAGUGCUGCAGCUAACGCAUUAAGCACUCCGCCU
rnacentral:rRNA from 1 species